UACGUAGGGGGCAAGCGUUGUCCGGAUUCAUUGGGCGUAAAGAGCGUGUAGGCGGCCAGGUAGGUCGGCUGUGAAAACUGGAGGCUCAACCUUCAGAGGUCGAUCGAAACCAUCUGGCUAGAGUCCGGGAGAGGAGAGUGGAAUUCCUGGUGUAGCGGUGAAAUGCGCAGAUAUCAGGAAGAACACCCGUGGCGAAAGCGGCUCUCUGGAACGGUACUGACGCUGAGACGCGAAAGCGUGGGGAGCGAACAGG
rnacentral:rRNA from 1 species